UGGCUCUAUAAUUGCUGAGUGCUCUACAAGAAAAAAUCUUCAAACCUGAAUCAAGAAACUUCAGGAAAGAGCUCAGCUGGUCUGGUCUAAGGGUACCUAUGCCAAAUGCUUAUGAGCAUAUAUCAAGACAGCUGCUUUUCAGCCACUGAGUAAUAGGUAUGUUCUCAUCUUCUGUCUGGUGAGCCAGGGCCUGCAAAUACAUACCAUGUGUGCUAAUCUACACCAUAAAGGAUUUUUGGAGAUAUCAAGAACAUUUUAUUCAGGCCAUAUCACUCCUGCUACUCACUUUCAAGCAUAA
rnacentral:lncRNA from 1 species